AGUGAACGCUGGCGGUAGGCCUAAUACAUGCAAGUCGAACGGCAGCACAGUAAGAGCUUGCUCCUACGGGUGGCGAGUGGCGGACGGGUGAGGAAUACAUCGGAAUCUACUUUUUCGUGGGGGAUAACGUAGGGAAACUUACGCUAAUACCGCAUACGACCUACGGGUGAAAUCAGGGGAUCUUCGGACCUUGCGCGACUGAAUGAGCCGAUGCCGGAUUAGCUAGUUGGCGUGGUAAAGGCCCACCAAGGCAACGAUCCGUAGCUGGUCUGAGAGGAUGAUCGGCCACACUGGAACUGAGACACGGUCCAGACUCCUACGGGAGGCAGCAGUAGGGAAUAUUGGGCAAUGGGCGCAAGCCUGAUCCAGCAAUACCGCGUGAGUGAAGAAGGCCUUCGGGUUGUAAAGCCCUUUUGUUAGGAAAGAACAGCAGCAGGUUAAUACCCGGCUGUUCUGACGGUACCCAAAGAGUAAGCACCGGCUAACUUCGUG
rnacentral:rRNA from 1 species